rnacentral:tRNA from 1 species
GUCAGUUUAGCUCAGAGGUAGAGCGCCGGUCUCAUAAUCCGGAGGUCGCGAGUUCGAUUCUCGCAACUGACA